ACACCACGGUCCAGGCGAGCCUCACUGGUCAGAUGAAGCUAUCUGGCUGCUUAUAAGAAGGCUGGAUCUGAAACCCAGUGACAACACUCGGGUCUGUAACUGCCAUUUUCCUGACGGGAAAGAGAAAGGGCCCUGUAUUUACCAGUAGGAGAGAAAGAUCCAGAACUGUUGAUUGGGGAAACAAGAACAAACAAUGAGGCAUGACGAUUGGGUGUUCAGGGAUACAACUUGUCACAUUGUCCGUGGUACUGACAGGAGGAGCGAUAUGAGUCUGUCAGAGGUCGUCACGCUGGAUGGGGAUGGAGGCUUUGGUGGUCCACACAACGACGCAGCAGGAAUCUCUUCCAGUGGUGUGGACCUGAUCCUGGAUCGGUUGCCAGUACGGAUGGUCUUCACGAAGGCUGUAAGACCCUACUUCCCUACGACCCUAAGAGGACUGGCCACCCCACAUAGCCUGGUUCCUCUCUAGGUUUCUGCCUUUUCUAGGGAGUUUUUCCUAGCCACCGUGCUUCUACACCUGCAUUGCUUGCUGUUUGGGGUUUUAGGCUGGGUUUCUGUACAGCACUUUGAGAUAUCAGCUGAUGUACGAAGGGCUUUAUAAAUACAUUUGAUUUGAUUUGCUUCCUAGACAUAGAAAUCCUUUGACUUCACUGCCUCUUCAAUGGUACAGUAAGGGCCCGUGCACCAUAUGGACCCUUGACCUCCAGCACUGCUGUGGAGCCCACCAGACCAUCCAGUGAGGCACCUAGGAUCCCAGACCUUGUGACCCCAAAGCCCUGACUCCUGGACAUCCAUCCUUGUAGACAUUUUGAAUGCCUUGAUGCACUCCUCUUCGUUAACUGUGGCCCACUUUACAGACAUCACCCCAUCCAACAACUGUGAUCUGAGGACUCUUUUUAUUUAUUUUAUUUUUUAAUCAGUGACGGAGUAACGCACUUAGCCCUAACCACUGUCCCAUAAUUGCUGUCCGUCAACUUUCCUCUCCUCAUGAUGUGCCAGUUGAGGUUGGUGUGCUGUCCAACUGUUGCCUGCCGUAUAACCUCCUGCUGCUCCACCGACAGAGUCAUGCCAGCCAGGAUACCUGCAUGCCCCAGAGAGGGCAGUGGUUGUUCUGGCUCAGGUUUAAGGAGACAUGCCAUUCCACUGAACCGGUUCCUUAGUCACUGAAGAACCUCCUCUGUGGGCUCUCGGGACAGUGGGUUUUAGUCUUCAGCCAGGUACAGAUCCUCCACUGACUGCACCUGGUUGGGCACGGCUGGCUUCCUUCACUCGCAUUCCAUAUCCAUACGGACAAUAUUGGUAAACACCAAAAUAGGCUUCAUGGCUACACUGACGAGCUCGAUGGAGGCAUUCCCAUGUGGUAGAGAGAAUCCCCUGGUCACCUAUAGAGACCUGCCAACAGGAAGUGGUCAACUAUAGAGACCUGCCAACAGGAAGUGGUCACCUACAGAGACCUGCCAACAGGAAGGAGGUUAAGAGCUACAUGUGGUAGAAAGAAUCCCCUGUUCACCUAUAGAGACCUGACAACAGGAAGUGGUCAACUAUAGAGACCUGUCAACAGGAAGUGGUCACCUCUAGAGACCUGCCUACAGGAAGGAUGUUAAGUGCUACAUGCCUUUCAGUGCACGACUUUAAACAUCUUGAAAUUAAUUUGUUGUAAAAAAUGUGCUAUAUAAAUAAAGUUUCAUUUGAUUGAUGACAUUACAUCUGUAGAAUGUGUCCACUGUGGCGGACUACAGACAACAUGAACAGUAUAUGAAUAGAAAAGGUGUGUACAGCAGUAGAAUAAUGUAAAAAUAUUUU